AACGAACGCUGGCGGCGUGCCUAACACAUGCAAGUCGAACGGAGGCAAGGGGCUUGCUCCUUGCUUUAGUGGCGCACGGGUGAGUACGCGUGGAUAAUCUGCCUGAUGCUCUGGGAUAACAUCUCGAAAGGGGUGCUAAUACCGGAUAAGCCCACGGGGUCUUAGGAUCUUGCGGGAAAAGGGGGGGACCUUCGGGCCUCCCGACAUCAGAUGAGUCCGCGUCCCAUUAGCUAGUUGGUGGGGUAAAGGCCUACCAAGGCGACGAUGGGUAGCUGGUCUGAGAGGAUGAUCAGCCACACUGGAACUGAGACACGGUCCAGACUCCUACGGGAGGCAGCAGUGGGGAAUUUUGCGCAAUGGGGGCAACCCUGACGCAGCAACGCCGCGUGAGUGAUGAAGGCCUUUGGGUCGUAAAGCUCUGUCAGAGGGAAAGAAAUGUGUGCGGUUAAUAGCCGUUGCACUUGGCGGUACCCUCAAAGGAAGCACCGGCUAACUCCGUGCCAGCAGCCGCCGUAAAAC
rnacentral:rRNA from 1 species